rnacentral:rRNA from 1 species
UACGAAGGGGGCUAGCGUUGCUCGGAAUGACUGGGCGUAAAGAGCGUGUAGGCGGUCUGCCAAGUCUGUUGUGAAAGCGCCUGGCUUAACUGGGCGAGGUCGACGGAAACUGGCAAACUGGAGGCCGGUAGAGGAGGGUGGAAUUCCCGGUGUAGUGGUGAAAUGCGUAGAGAUCAGGAAGAACACCCCGUGGCGAAGGCGGCCCCAC